rnacentral:rRNA from 1 species
UGGAGGCAGCAGUGAGGAAUAUUGGACAAUGGGGGCAACCCUGAUCCAGCAAUGCCGCGUGAGUGAUGAAGGCCUUAGGGUUGUAAAGCUCUUUUACCCGCGACGAUGACGACGGUAGCGGGAGAAUAAGCCCCGGCUAACUUCGUGCCAGCAGCCGCGGUAAUACGAAGGGGGCUAGCGUUGUUCGGAGUUACUGGGCGUAAAGGGCGCGUAGGCGGCGCACCAAGUCAGGCGUGAAAGCCCUGGGCUCAACCCGGGAAUUGCGCUUGGGACUGGUGUGCUUGAGUACGGGAGAGGAUAGUGGAAUUCCCAGUGUAGAGGUGAAAUUCGUAGAUAUUGGGAAGAACACCGGUGGCGAAGGCGGCUAUCUGGACCGUAACUGACGCUGAGGCGCGAAAGCGUGGGGAGCAAACAGGAUUAGAUACCCUAGUA